rnacentral:rRNA from 1 species
UACGUAGGGUGCGAGCGUUAAUCGGAAUUACUGGGCGUAAAGCGUGCGCAGGCGGUUUUGUAAGACAGGCGUGAAAUCCCCGGGCUCAACCUGGGAACUGCGCUUGUGACUGCAAGGCUAGAGUACGGCAGAGGGGGGUGGAAUUCCACGUGUAGCAGUGAAAUGCGUAGAGAUCAGGAGGAACACCCAUGGCGAAGGCAGCACUCUGGACCGGACCUGACGCUGAGACGCGAAAGCGUGGGGAGCGAAC